GUGUGUGUGUGUGUGUGAGUGAGAGAAAUAAGGAUGGAAGCUACCUGCAAGCUAAGUUAACUACGACAUUGCAGACCUAAGCUAUCACGUGUGGCUACGAAAUUGGGAAGGUGUUGCUAAGAGGCUGCGUCUGUUCCUAGUGUAGUUUAACCUCUCUGUAGGUAAAUCCAUGCGUGUGGAGGGACAUCUGUAUUGUUGGUAAACAAAAAAAAAAAGCUGAGACAUUAUAAAUAUAUGCAAACAAAUUUUUUGAUUCUCAAAAUGAUUUGUAUAAUUUUUUGUUAAAUUGUCAUUGAAUUAAACAAUUUCUUUAAAUGAAAUAUCAACUACAAAACCCCCCACACAAACUGGCUGGAAAUGUUGCAGAAAAAGAAACUUAAACCCAACAAUUAAAUGCAGGUGCGCAAUUAAAACAGAUUAAUUUUCAGCAAUUAUCUUUUCCCUUUUGACUGACAAGAGAUUAUUACCAAUUGCCGUACUUGAUGCAAACUUUUCCAAGUGCCGACAAUUACAGUGAUUGUCUGAGAAAGACAAGGGAAUUUGCUGGUUUGUAACGUCUAUUUCGGUUCAAUCCCAGAAGAUCAGAUGUGAAAUGGAAAAUCACUUCAUCUCUCCGAGCACAAUAGCAGUAAAGCAGACAAGAUGUACUGUGUAAAAUUUAAAACUCAAAGAACAAGUUUAGCUGCAAUCAUGUUCUAUGUUGUGUGUUAUAAAGAUAGUUAUUUGUUUAAUUAAGUGUUCUCCUGGAGAUGAACGGUUUAAUGUACAUUAUUCUAACCCUUCCACUUCAGGAAAUUCAAUAGCUGAAUGUUUGUGUUUAUUAUGCUAUUCAUCCCGUCUACACUGGCGGAUUUAUAUUCUAAAAAGGAGCAAUGACCCAUGCUCUGAAAGCUGGUUAAAUUCUGCUAUUAACGGCAAUAGAUUUUCCUUUUUUUUUUUUUUUUGCAUGACAUGCAUAUCCAAUCUUCUGACAUUGAGGUACGUUUUUUUUACUAGAGUCAUAGCUGAGAAGAUCACCUCUAGGAAACAAAUAGCAAAAAAUGUCAUCUUGCCAUUUUAGUUAAAUGAAAGUGUCAAUACAACUUGUAUUUGUAUGUAAGCAAUAGGCUACAUGAUGCUGUCCUCCUCUCUGCUAACUUUCUACACUUAAACACAAAGACAAACACAUUCGGUGGGAUUCUCACAACUCGCCACAUACUCACGCCUUGACCACCAAACAGUCAUGUUUUAGUUCAAAAUAGCAUCUGUAGAGCUUGGUGGAUUUUACCAACUUCAACUGGAACUGCGUCUGGAUGACUGCUGCUUCCAGCGGUACACAAGGCGAAGCGUCAGCAAGUUUGAUAACCUGAUCUGUCGGAUGGAUCGUUGACUGGAUUUCACCACAUUUCACCACAUCAUACUUCUCUGCUGAGGGAACCGUCCAAUUGCAAGACAGCCUGUAAUGCUCAAGCACAUGCAAAGGGCUCUUUUAAGAGCCACCCACAUUAUUAUUGAGCAAAUUUCCUGCAAUAAUAUUUAGUAGCAGUGUGUCUUUAAACAAUACAAUUACCAUACACUAUAAUGUACAAUAUUUAGUGCAGUGGGAUGUUGUAUACAUAUGGUUGUAUCCGUUUUUUAGAACUACAAUAAACAUGGAACAAAGUGCAUUCAAAAUGGCAUCCUCCAUUUUUUUUCUGAUCUAGCAAUUGCAGGACGUCAGUGAAAGGUUUAGCAGCUCAACGCUGAUUUUUCACCAAAGUUGAAAAACGCAGCAUAAUCGUUACCUCACCAACUAUUAUAAGGCAUUAUGUCUUUCUCACAUUUACCUGUGUGUUGCACACAACACACAGGUAAAUGUUUAUGGAACAUACAUGGUGUUUCUCUAACGCUGUACAAGAGUGCUAUUGAGUUUAGGUAAGUUUUAGUCAUAGUAAUUAUUUUGGGUAUUCAUGAGACUCUCAAUUGCAAGUCAUUUUCAUUGUGUUCAGAAAUGUGGAUCCCUCGGGUAAUUUAAAUGUCAUACAUUUGAUAAAUAUUUUUUGGUUUAAUUUUGGUGCUCAAAGGUUUCUGUAAAGUGUUCAAAGGUUAUUUACAAUAGAUGAAUAGGUAUGAAUCUUUUAAGAGCACUUCACUGGGAAUAUGGCUUUUGUUGAGGGUUGUUGCAGGGCUCAAACCUGCUAAGUUUUUAUAUCCACCAUAAUAGCUUCCACACAGCAUGUCUCCUGCUUUUUGUUUUGAGUGGAAAAAAAUACAUGUGUAAACAACAUAGACGAAUCCCUCUGCCCAACCCCAAACCAUUGGACACAGAACCCUGUUGGCUGGUUUGCUGCCAUUUUCUAGCUACUGAAUGUCAACGCACAAGGAGUGCUGUGGUUUAUGAGUACCUGCAUGGGGAACAAAGAAGAAAAAAGUGUGCCUGGGACAGCGGGAGAAGGGAAAAAAAAGAAAACAUUAAAUUAAUCCUCUAAAAGCCUUUUAGCAAUAUUGCCCUCCCACAGCGAUCUGGGAGCACAUGCAGAGUCCACUUCCCAUCAUUUAAUUCCUGCUGAAAUUUAAUUUAGACCGAGAGCUAUUCAUUCAUCAGAAUGAAUACGCCUACCUAAACCACCACCACCACCCCAACAUGCAUACAUAUGCAGCACAGUUUCUAUGCACAUGCACACAUUGUCAGACUUAGUGGCCCCUCUGCAUGCUUUAUAUGUUUGGACUAAUGUAUGUUUAAAGCAGCAAAUGACACAUAACCAACCCCCACCAAUACUAGAACCACAUUCUGUUCAUGGUGGAUGCAACAGUGAAGUUUAUAGAUUUGUGUCAAAUUACUGUUUCUAAAUAUAAGAUAAUUUCAUUCAUCUCAUUUAAGUAUCCAAAUCAAAACCACGAUAGGGGCUGGAUAAAUUGCUAUAUAUUCCUAUAAAAAAUGUGGUUUAAUGCUAGUAAACUGUUUAUCACUGUGGUCAAAGCUUUUACAUGACAACACUAAAUCUACAGUCUACUGUUUAUCCAGCCAAAGAAACUGUAUAUCUCUAUAUUUCUUUAAAAAAACAACAACAAUGUUGUGUGCAUCUCCUUUCAUUCAAACUGAAUUAAUUGGGAUCAAGAAGAAGCAGCUUUUUUAAAUCAGAGCAAAAGACCUCCCUGGUGUUCAUGCUCCCAUCCAAUGAAACCUCUGCACUCAUAUGUGCAGAGGUUGCAUUCAUAUGUACAGUAGGUGUGAACCAACAUCCUGUGUUUUUGGUGUAAUUUCCAUUCAAAUUGAUCUGUGGCCCUACAGACCACACAGGCCCAAACUCUUUGUAUUACAGGCCGCAUGGUGAGGUGCCCAACACACAGUUGUGAUGCCACUUCCCAUAUAACUGUGAUUAGAAGACACCGCCGUGGCACAGCAGCUUAAAUGAUUUGAUAUCCUUUCUCAGACGUCUCUGCCACCAGAUCCUUCUCUGGUGAUGAGGUGAACGCAUCACUGGCCGCUUGCCUGUAAACACACCAGCAGACAUACGGUCACUGUUAUUAAUUCCUACUCAUCUACCAUGUGGAGAUUGAUGAGGGAGAGAGAUGCUGGUAACCCCCCAGGGUUAAGUUGGAAUAAGGUGUAUUAGCCCCGGAUGGAAAGGCACAACCAGAUAUCCCACUGUUAACUCUGAUAGCAAAUUGUGCAUUCCUAUCAGUAGUAACAUAGUAAAAGCAUUCGCACAGCUGGGGAUAAAAAUGUUUCUCAAAACCCUCUUGUCAGGGGAGACUUGCUUCAAAAUGUGCUAUGAAUAUCAGAGUUUGGAAACCUACAGAGGGCUCAGCCACCGUCCCAGACCGCUUGGAAUGGGAAGACUGACUGACUUCCUCCUUGGCUCCUUGGCUACCAAGUGGGCCGGGGAGGGCCUAUCUUUGUAGGUGUGUUUUGACACUGGGCAGUUAUGAGGCAUCAUACUUAGUUCACUCAAAUGAGUUAACUAGGCGUCAAGUGAGCAGUGGGGCCGAUAAUGGUCAUGUCAUGUCAUUGUAAAAAGAUUUUUACCAAUUUUUUCAACAAAAUGUCCAACAUCAGCUUUAAAACUCCAGGAAUGCAACUACCUGAAUCACCUCUUUUCGCUGAUGCUACUGUCAAAAGAAAGGAUGUGCCCAUGGAAAUAUAUCUGUGGUGAAAUUCCCCAGGAAGUGAAGUACUGGCUGUAUGUGAUGUUGCCACCAUCAUCAUCUUCAGCGGACUCUAGUGUUUCAGCAGUGAUGAAGCAAAGGCGAGGACCUCACCUUCAUUGAUUUUCAGCACCAGCUGACUCUCUCGCAGCAAAGCAUCACAUCAAAGUGUUAGAAGUGAUCCCUAACCCUGGCAUCAAAAUUGGGCAGCGCUUGUCAGACCUGACAUGCUGAUGGUUGCUAAAUGCAACUCUCUGUGUGGUCUACUCCGAGGCACUUGAGGAAGGCUUCACGAAGAUCCAUUCCGGCAAAGAGGCCGGGACAAAAAAGGCAGUGAUGGAUUUCAAAGCAGUGACGCUUUAAUAUCAGCUUGCAAAUUGCCAUUUACUGAGGAAAAAAAUAAUGGCAGACAGCUGUGUGUGCCGCAUUUCAUCCUCUAGGUUCUGCAUGUAUUCUGUUAGGCACAUCGUGACCAUCUGGCUGUACUUAAGUAAGUUUUAGGUGCAAAAAGUCUGAUCAUUUGUUUUAAAUUUUUGGUUUAUGAAUGCAUGCUCGUGAUUGUAGGAAAGUACUACUCAAAGAGCACUGUGUGAGUUACAACAACUUUGUAUAAUUUACAAGGGUUGCAAGUAUGAACAAAUUUUAAACAGAUUUGAAGUAAUCUGUGUUUUCAUCUGCUUAAUUUCCCUACCUGCCUGUGUGAUGUCAACUAUGAUAUCUGCAUAGCCCCUCAUGAUGAGCAGAAGACAAAAUAUACUGUAAGUUGAUGGGAAAAGCUUAAUCAAUCUCAUAAAAAAAAGUCACGACGGCUGCAUCAUUUUUUUUAUUGUACAUUUAACAAAUAAAAUUGCAAAUCAGCAUGGUCCUCAGUUUUUAUAUUGUAUCGCUAUUUUAACUAAACAAAUGUGUUACUUCAUAAGAAUAUUUAAUAAUAUAAUAAUAAUUAAUAAACAACUUUCCAAAAAUUUCCAAUAACCAAUGUUAGUUAAUCACCAGCACCUUUUUUCUUUUUUUUUUUUCUUAUCCUGCGAAAUGAUUUCAGGAUCCUUUUUUAAAAUAAAACGCACUGUGACCGCAGGGGUGAACAGCUUUAUUCAGGGGGAAUUUCCAGAUCCCACACAGUCAAGUGACCACCUGCAUAAGUAAACAUGGCAGUGGAUCUACGAAGCCAAAGGGUGGUUGUUCUUUUGUAGACUCUGUGGGGUCAAGCAAAUUAAUUAGCCUUUAGUGUCGUAAAUAUAUCAUGCACCAAUAUCAAUGUUUUAUUACAACUCAAAAUCUGGCAGUAGAUGGACUGCUGGUCUGUAGUUUUCACAGCUUUGUACUGUCAUCCACUACUGGUACAUGCAGACUAAUUAUUUUGGUAUUCCUUCUGCCCUCAAGCUUUUGACCUUUUUAUAUGCCAAACUCUUAGGUCCUUCCUUACAAGAUACUUGUUUAGCAUUAAGAAGUGCAUUCUUGCAGUCGGUUUUACUCUACCUGUCAUGAGUAUAGCUUGCAUGCAAGAUGAAAGAAAUAGCUACUGCAGACACUACAAUAGAAUGGCUAUUGAAAGCAAUAAAUAUAGGUCAUUUUUUACAUUGGAGCAUUCCUAACGUUCUUGUUUAGCCGCGCAUGAACAACAGCUUGCCGCACUUUACCAGUGCUCCGGUGUGUUUUUGGUGUUACAGCCUAGCAAGCAUUUCAAUCUGCUGCCACUCAGUGUAAUUUAGAUAAUGUAAUGUAGAUGUAAAUUAUUUCAAAAAGGUACUACAGGUAGUAUUUAUUUUUAUAUAAUAUAGCAUUGUAGGCUGACAUAAAUAUAUGAGCCUUUCCCAUAUAGAUUAUAUUACCUAUUAUUAUUAUUAUUAUUUACCUUCUCAUCUCCUAACUGCGCCGCGAUCUCAACAGUCUCUGAAGCCAUGAGAAGGUCAUCCACUCUUCAUGGCUGAUUUGCCACAUAGCCGGCUGGUAUCGGCCAGGCCCAAUGCCUGCCUCGGGACUCCCGACCCCCCUCCUCUUUUCUGGGAUGAGGCCAGACAGAGGUGUGAUGGCUGUGGGCAACUUGCCCCUUUUCACCUCCAGUUUGUCAGAGCGUGUAUCGGAAUGGGCCAAAGAGUGUCAACAUUUUUUUGACGGCACUGGAGAGUGUAAGACCAUGAGCCAGUAACGUUUGAAAAGAGCAUGUGAUAGUAUUUUGAGUCAUUCCAUUUAAUAAUAAAGUGCAUUUCACUAAGGAAGAGGCUAUUGUUAGUCCGUGCAUCCUUCACAGUGAAGGACUACAUUCUCAGUUGGAAGUCAGGGUGGAGGUAGGGUUUGUGCGAUGUUUGCACCUCAGAGACCUAAGUUGCGAAAACAAGCUCUUAACUGCGUGUCAAGUCACUUGCAUUUACCUCAGAAAGUGUAAGAUGUCACAAGAUGCAACAGGUGUGGAAAAUAACAAAAGUGUGAUAUUGCCUCUGUAAUUCAUUCAUUAUGCUGUCCGCCAGCUGAAAUUUAACACUUGGAUAUUUGCCAAUGCACAGCCUGAAAACUGUUGUUACCUUUAUUCUCAAACAGGUGACUUCUUUGAGCUAACCAGACUGAUCCUGACUGACUACAGUUUAGUCACCCUCAGCCUACUUCUUUGUGAGCUAGACCACCAUACAGGACAGUUCACAUUUUCUGUUAUUUUGUGGAAUAAUGUAUAAUAUAAUCUUGAAAUAUCAACUGUAUUAAUGGCAUCAGGUUUUAUAGAUACAGGGAAUGCAUUACAUUACAGGUCAUUUAGCAGACGCUUUUAUCCAAAGCGACUUACAUUACACUUUAAACCCAUGGCUUUUUCACAUUUUGCCCAGGAAGCAAUUAGGGGUUAGGUGUCUUGGAGACACUUCAACAUGGAACAUGGGACAGCCUGGAAUCGAACCAACAACCUUGUGCUUCCCAGCACACCUCCUCUAACCCCUGCGCCACAACAACCCGAAUGCAGCCUUCACUGUUGGGAUACUUUCUCCCAUUGUCUCUCCACUCAAAGCAAGAACCUUCUUUUGACGUCUGUUGCACAAUUGAUUGCCAGUAUGCAAAUGAACUAAGUAGAGCCUGUCAACUAAAAUCUAUGUGCUGCAAAAACAGUGAAAUUUGAAAAACGAAAUGAGAAACUUGUGCGGCAAUUAUACUUACAAAAUAUUGCUUCUUUGAGUCAUAACCUUAAAACUAAACGUUUUGCCUUUAAACACAAACAUGAGUCAUUGUAUGCUCCAUUUUCUGUCAAUUGACCUUCAUAGAUCUCCAGCUAGGUAUAAACAUUGUGCAGUGACUGGAAAGACUGGAAUCCCUUUCCAUGAAGAUAAUCAAAAUAUUUCCCCAAAAGCGGCAUGUUGAGCAUAUUGAACUGUUGGAAACUGAGGGUAAAAUGAAACGCCAGAGUGCAAGGCUGUAUCUUCCGCAAUCUUUAUUCACAAGAUUUCAACCAGAGGCCGCUCCAAAGCUUUUCUGUGUUAUGUUCUGGGAGUGACGCUGAAGUGACCUCGGGGUAUUCCCUUUGGUGUGAAAGAAAGGACAUUGAUACCAUUCCAAUAGCUGGAUAAGCCUUCUAGGAUUUGUCCUUGGUACAGGGACUUGAACACAUUUGUUUGUCUCCGUGUACACUAAGAGGGUAUUUUCCAUAGCAUUUAAAUCGUAUAAUCAUGGGUGGACCAACCAUGAACUCAUCCCUAUUCUAUAUAUUCUGUCGCCUAGGUAAAAACAUGGCUUACAUUUGUGGGUAAAUUUAACCAACAAAAUCACUUAUUUAGGAUUACAAAAAUCCUAGUUUGGCUUAAAAAUGUAUUACAAGUAUAAGCGACUAAUGCAUAUUCUACAGUGUUGGGGAGUAACUGAAUACAGUAGCGGCAUUACGUAUUUGCAAUACAAAUUAUGAGUAACUGCAUUCCGUUUAGUUACAAUUUAAAUAGCAGAAUACAGUUACAUUGUUGAAAUCAAUGGAUUACUUGACGGUACUUCUGUUUUCACAAGUUUAUUCACUCUCUAAAUAAAUGAAGGCAACUUGAUGCAUUUCCCUGAAGCCCCAACAUGAAAACGAAUGAAAGUUCUAUUUGCGCAGUACCUGCUAACUGAGUCUGAAGAGAAGCACAACAGAGCCAGGGCAGGAAUGCUUUUCUAUCCUGGAAAUUCAAUUAGCAUUUCAUGUUAAAGAAAGAGACGGGAGAACGGAAUAUAACUGCAGUAAAAACCUCCGCUUGCCAGCAACCAACCUCCUUUCACCGUCCAAAGACUCCACCUCCAACCUGAAGAAGCAUCUUAAAGUAAGUUUAGUUUUUAAUUAGUCAGGGGUAGUCCUCUGCUGUAGUUUUACUGGUCACCUUGCUAUUUUAUAGUUCGGGACUAGAAACACAAACAUGUAUCUGGGAGUUCAGGUAACUUUUGUAUGUUUAAAUGCUUCCACAUGGUUUUUGUUGCAUGUUGCUCCUGUUAUAGCAAACUCAUACAAAAUGCAAUUCAAUGUGGAAGUAAUCCAAGUAUUCAGAAUACAAUACUCAAGAUUAGUUAAUGUAUCGGAAUACGUUACACAUUACAUUUUUGGGCAUGUAUUCUGUAAUGGAAUACGUUUAGAUAAGUAUCCUUCCCAACACUGAUAUUAUAUAAUAUUACUGGAAAUAACGUUUUGCUUACACCAGAAUGUCAGUUCUGGUUGUUCCUUUCACCGUUCUCCCACACGCCUCUUCAGACUUCUUGCUCUUAAAAACUGUCCUCCGCGUCUAAUAAUUAUAUGAAUGGAUUUACAUGGAACUUGCCUGGUCGAGCCUGCUUCAUCUCAUACGGAUGCUCAUGGUUGCCAUGUCCAUCAGUACAAGACACCACGUGCUAAUGUCUAAGUGCUGGAAUUUGAAACCAGGCAAUUGACUUAUGAAGAGAUCAUAAUGAUGGUAACUUGUACUGAAGCUGUGACUGAGAACUGAGAGGUUUGUAUGCUAGGAAUUUGUCUCUUAAGUAGUCUAAAGUAUGACUCAUCAUUAAAACUUUUAAAAGACAAAACUUGCAAACCACUUGAAACUAUAGAAAGUCAAUAAGAAGGGAGUAUAUGCCUAUGAUUGUGACAACUGAUGACCAUGAAGAAGAGGGACAAUCGCUGAUUCAGAACAAGUUAAUGACAAAUCAAACAAAAGUUGAUGUUCAUUGGAGAGACAAGGAGGACUAUCAUAAGCUCCCACAUGAGCCAAACAUGUACCCUGCAUCCCUUCCACGUCCACACCAUCAGAGAAUAUUUCCAAAGGCCGGAUGCAUCGUUACAAGACAAAGUUCACUUCCUCCAAGUAAUGUGGACAAACUAGAUUUUCUCUCCUACAACAUUUCAGGGCUAAAUAAGAACACUGCAUAACCUGGGAAAGUAAAACCCCUACUCAUCUGCCUCGAGAUUAACAUUAACCUGAAGACAAAUGUCCAGUGUUAAACAUUCGAUUUCACUUGUUUAUUUAUCCAUAUAUUUAAAGAUGAAUACAUUUUUUACUUUGCUCUUAAAUAUUUUAUUCUGUGCACUACAUUGAAACUACAAUACUCAUUAUCUGGAAAAAUAAUGUUCAGAAAAAACACACAGAGGCUGUGACCUAAAACAAGAUGAGAAUUAAGUAUCCUAGAACAAGCAGACAAAUUAUUAAAUCAGAAUGAAAUCACCCAGGAGACAGAAUGCAACUUGACAGAAGGAUUAUCUUGGCCUCCUCACGGGCAUCUUUUUUUUUUUUUUUUAAUAAUAAGGUUAAAAGAGCCUGAAUUAAAUAGAUAUAUUUACUACUUACUGCCUGCCUCCUUACACCAACAAAACCCAUAUGGUUGGUUGCACUAUGUCCAUAAUUUUGUAUGGUAACAAAAUCAAUUUGGCCACAUUCCCAAUCUUGGGUCAUAAGUAAUUCUAUUAAUGAUCUUUAAUAACGCAAAGUGGUCAUGAUUAGUCUAUGUAUCAGUGAAACCUUUCAGAUUCAUAGUUUAAGAUAUGUUUUAUAUUACAUCAUAUAGGUUUUUAUCUGGUUUGUACGGUAUUCUAGAAUUUCUUACUUUCUCGGAAAAACUGCUGUUUUAAGGGUGGAUGGUUCUUGUGAAUCGUCAGUCAAGUUUCCAUGUGUAACUUAUUGAUUGUUCGUUAUAAGUCAAUAAGUUACAAAGGUAGGAGGGACAUUUUUGACAGAAAAAUAAAGCACAAAAUAAAGCUUGGUAUUGAGAAGAUAGAGCCCAUUUUUUCUAUAUAUUUUCUUGUUUAUGUGUCUGUGCUCAUAUAUAUAUAUAUAUAUAAUAUGCAGGGAUUUCUUUUAUUAUUGAAAUUGAUGUUUUUGUGGUUAAGGGCUGACAACGAACGAGGUAUGUAUGAGAAAUCAAAGAUGACUGCUUGUUCACAUUACAUCUGCUCUCUGGCUUCUUUGCUUGGAAAAAACCUUGCAUGUGCUCGUGUCAAAACAAGUUCAGAUGCAGCCACAGGCAUUUAGGAAUAUAUGCAUGUUAAGUAGUUAUAAUUAGUGGUCAGCUAGACAGAUCUUAACAAUCCUAAUGCCUCUGACAUCUGAAUAAAAUGUCCAGCAACGACUAUAAAUCAUUUAUAACCAUUAUCUACUUUCUUGUAAUCAGCAUUUCAAUCUCAUGAGAGAAGCUACUCCAUCUACAAUUGGGCCAUAAUCUUUAUUAGGGUGAUCAAAAACCCUUAAGCUUAGACAUGGCCCACCAGCAUUCUGCCACAGCUUUGCAGACUUAUGCUGCAUGUCUUGCAGUUGCAUUGCAUUAAUAAGGAAGCAAAACAUAAACUGGGGAAAACUGCAAUAAUGUCAUGUCAAGAACAUUGUUUUGGUCAAAACAUUUCUGUAUCGUUGCUACAAUAAGUUGGGUGUAUGACAUGUCAGCUGAGAUAAGAUGACUGCUCAGGAUAUAAAAUCUGUGUGACGUGUAUAUCCGGUGUCCAGAAGGCUACUCUGUCUCAUGAUAAUCAAAUGUAUGUCUCGGGAUAAAUAACAUGACGGCCCUUUUACAAUGAGAUCAUUCCUGUUUAUCUUACCUUAUCGGAGUAUAUAUGUGGGAGCUGGAAAAGAAGGAGUAGGCUUGGCGCAUAGCCUGUAUGUGUGUCAACUGUCUCCUGCAAACAUUAAAUAUCAUGUUGAGUGUUCAUUUUUCUAACAUAAACGUUGGGGUAUUGAAGAUCAGAGUGUUUUCUGUCAAUGCUUGGAACUAAUGAGGAAGGUGGAGAGUUGGGAACUCCGAUAUGGAGCCAAUCAGGUGAGACAGGGGUAGAGGCUUUUACAUGGUGUUCGGAAGCACCGCCAUUAGGCGGACUCAAUUGCACUGCUUGCAUCGCACACUUCUUCUGGGACUAACUAAAAGGCAGUGAAACCAACCUCAACUGUUUAGAGUGACGUUUUGCUCCAAAAUAAAUGUGAGAUGGUCUUCCUUCAAAAAAGUAGCCGAAAAAAAACUAGUCAUUGUAGGAUGACCCUUUUCCUUCAAAAGGGGUCAAUAGUAUGUCAUUAUGGAACCACAAGUCUACUAUGGAAGGACGCAGUGACUGUUGGACCUUUUUACAGAAGUCCACUAUUGGUUUCCCCCUUCUCACCAAAGGAUUGAAUGUUUUUUUGUAACCACAGUUCACAAGUCACUUUUUUAGGACAUUGGAAUAUAUCCGUAUUAUUUAGCUUGUCGCAAAAAAACUUACACCUUUCCUUUCAGGUCAAGUCUUAUCAAUAACUUCCAGCCAGCUAUUCUCAUCUUUAUUGGGGCUCAGUUUGGCACUAAAUUGGCUCAUUAGCUACCUAAUUGGACAAAUUAAAGAUCCAAUCAGGAUUGCUUUGGCUUUCAGAGUUCUGUAGUUGCCUUUUAAAUCAUCUGUUGACUCAGACUGUGAAAGAGGGACAAAUUUGCCAAGUGGAGCGAAUAAUUGCUUCAAUUGAGUACAAGCAAGAGCUGGCAAAGAAAAGGCCGGGGAAUGCAGCUAACAGAUAAUACUGUGCACCCUCCCCAGCAGUGGACAAAACGCAGGGCAUGACGUAUGGACUUUGCGAGGAAGGUUGGAGAGCUGGAGGGUUGCAAAGCCAAAGACCAAUGUUGAAAAGACUGAUUUUCAUUAAUCUGAAAGAACUUGCACCUUGAAUGUAACCUGCAUAAUUAACAGCCAAUCCCUGAAGACAUGGUUGAUGGUUGGUGUGCUCCACUAAGUGUCCACAUUAACAUUAUGAUAUUUUAAAUUAAAAGGUGUACACCUUCCGGUCACCGAAGUAAACCGGAAGUUCACCGGAAACUAAACAGCAGUCAGUUACAUCGGGAUGGAGAGAGCUUUUUGCAUUGGAACUAAACAAACAGUGGUGCUACAUACAGCAGAGAACUGUGCAGAGGAGUUACUCCACGUGGCAAACUGACUACUUAAAGCACUUCUAUGUUAAGCUAGAUGCUAGGCUAUUUUUAUGUGGUUACUCAGACAUCGGUGGUCGGAUGUCAUUAUUGUAGCCUCGUUUUUCCUCUUAAAGGGAGGUUGACCUUUAAUUGCGCCGCGCAUGGGGGAACAGGCUUUUCUCAAUCGAGGUUUGACACUAUCUCGCCCGUCAUUGUUCAAGUGCGGAAAGUACCAGUGGGCCUCUCAGACCCUGCUGUACUUGGGGACACUGCGGUGGGUAGGGCCCUUCCGGCGGGAUGUCCGCCUGGUGUAGGCCUCCGCGCAUCUCACGAUCCCUCCAGGAUUUUUCUCUCUGCCUUUGAUAGGCCCAUUUCAACAAGCAACUUGUCGGAUUCCUUAUGAUAGGCGCCUCGCCAUGUCAGGACCACCGCUCCAAACUGUUUGCCGGCUCCGUGCUCCACCGUCCACCUAUCCAGGCCUUAAUGUCCUCCUUAUCGUAGUAAUCCAUCUUCGAUUUGAAGGCGGCCGCCAUGGUCGCUAUACAAGCGUCUGCCACGAUGGUAGUAUCCAGGACGACCGCUCCCCUGCUUGUAAGGGCCACCAGGUCUGGUAUUCUCAGGCCUUCGGUGAUGGGGAUCCUAGGCUCGACCAUGCACUUAGCUCCUUUUCUGAGGAGGCACCGAUGGACCCAGUCGUUGACGUUAUUGUGUCUUUUGACACGCUCUUCAUGUGACCUCGUGCAGGCUUGAAUUUGAUGGCCCAGAGUGUCGCGUGCGUUGCCCCGGAUCUACAGAGCCUUUAUGUACCCCGCACCGGUCAUCAGUCUCGUCCCGUCUGUGACCCAGUGGUUGGCUGCCGGCACCUCGCCAAUGUUCUUAAGUCCCGCUCCGUCCCUACUGGCCAGAAGUCUGCCCUUCCAGAAGCGUCUCUCCUCCGCCUUGUUAUUGAUUGGCGUUUGCGCGAAUAUCAUGAGGUCAUUCCUGGCUAGGAACUGAAAGUCCGGGUGGCCAGCCAGUGCCUGAAUGUCCUUGUCCCGAGACUCUGCUAGUUUGCCCAUUUGGUGCUUCCAUCGAACAUCUAACGUUACCCUGUGCGGCACACAGUCUGCAGAGGACCACCACUGUGUCCCUGACAUAUCGUGGUUUGAAAACGUCCUGGCUAAAUGUGGCGAGAUUGUUGGGACUUCAAACACCAGAGUUGAGAGCAAAGUACACGAGGACAACAGGUAGCGCGUCUGUAGUUCAACUUGUUUCACCAGGUGGAAUUCUGCCUCAAAGAUGAUCAAAUGUGUGUAGUUUUGGGUUAACUUUAAAAUACACACUUUCUAAAGUGAUUACUCAUUACUUUUAAGAUUUAGUGUUUAGACGAAAAACAACAUUGUAACAACAACAUCCAUUAAUC
ensembl:lncRNA